rnacentral:rRNA from 1 species
CGGCGGACGGGUGAGUAAUGCAUAGGAAUCUGCCCGGUAGUGGGGGAUAACCUGGGGAAACCCAGGCUAAUACCGCAUACGUCCUACGGGAGAAAGCAGGGGAUCUUCGGACCUUGCGCUAUCGGAUGAGCCUAUGUCGGAUUAGCUUGUUGGUGAGGUAAUGGCUCACCAAGGCGACGAUCCGUAGCUGGUCUGAGAGGAUGAUCAGCCACAUCGGGACUGAGACACGGCCCGAACUCCUACGGGAGGCAGCAGUGGGGAAUAUUGGACAAUGGGCGAAAGCCUGAUCCAGCCAUGCCGCGUGUGUGAAGAAGGCUUUCGGGUUGUAAAGCACUUUCAGUGAGGAAGAAGGCCUUGGGGCUAAUACCCCCGAGGAAGGACAUCACUCACAGAAGAAGCACCGGCUAACUCCGUGCCAGCAGCCGCGGUAAUACGGAGGGUGCGAGCGUUAAUCGGAAUUACUGGGCGUAAAGCGCGCGUAGGCGGCGUGAUAAGCCGGUUGUGAAAGCCCCGGGCUCAACCUGGGAACGGCAUCCGGAACUGUCAGGCUAGAGUGCAGGAGAGGAAGGUAGAAUUCCCGGUGUAGCGGUGAAAUGCGUAGAGAUCGGGAGGAAUACCAGUGGCGAAGGCGGCCUUCUGGACUGACACUGACGCUGAGGUGCGAAAGCGUGGGUAGCAAACAGGAUUAGAUACCCUGGUAGUCCACGCCGUAAACGAUGUCGACUAGCCGUUGGGGUCCUAGAGACCUUUGUGGCGCAGUUAACGCGAUAAGUCGACCGCCUGGGGAGUACGGCCGCAAGGUUAAAACUCAAAUGAAUUGACGGGGGCCCGCACAAGCGGUGGAGCAUGUGGUUUAAUUCGAUGCAACGCGAAGAACCUUACCUACCCUUGACAUCGUGCGAACUUUCCAGAGAUGGAUUGGUGCCUUCGGGAACGCACAGACAGGUGCUGCAUGGCUGUCGUCAGCUCGUGUUGUGAAAUGUUGGGUUAAGUCCCGUAACGAGCGCAACCCUUGUCCCUAUUUGCCAGCGAUUCGGUCGGGAACUCUAGGGAGACUGCCGGUGACAAACCGGAGGAAGGUGGGGACGACGUCAAGUCAUCAUGGCCCUUACGGGUAGGGCUACACACGUGCUACAAUGGCCGGUACAAAGGGUUGCAAAGCCGCGAGGUGGAGCUAAUCCCGAAAAGCCGGUCUCAGUCCGGAUCGGAGUCUGCAACUCGACUCCGUGAAGUCGGAAUCGCUAGUAAUCGUGAAUCAGAAUGUCACGGUGAAUACGUUCCCGGGCCUUGUACACACCGCCCGUCACACCAUGGGAG